ensembl:lncRNA novel transcript
CCCUCAUGAGGCCCUCCAUCCCUGGGGGAAGACUCCUGGAGGAAAUGCGUAGGCGGGGAUUCCACAGGGACGCAGUGUUCAUGCAGCGCCUGUCUGGUGCCAGUUCUGAAGCACACACUGCAAAGAUUAAGAAGAUGGGUCUCAGCUGAUUGGGAGUAGAGCACAGCAUCUUCAGAGAAGGCCACGGAAGUCCUCCUCAAGGUGUCCAAGUGUCCUCCAAACAUUAGCCACUGUUGUUAUUAAUAAAGGAAUUUAAGACCGAAAAGACCUAUGGAGGAUUCAGGAGUCCAGGGGCCUGUAUUACACAGAAGAGUUAAGAGGGUGAUUCACACACCCGUGAAGAUGAGUCUCCUCCCUCAUCCUCCCCACACUGGGUCCAUAAGAGGUGCUCCUGAGCAGUUUCACCUCAUAACCCACAGGCUUAGAUUUGGUGCUGAGGUAGCCAGGGUCAGCCCUAGUGCAGAGUAGAGCAGCUUAAUUUCAGAUGAAUUUUUCAGUGGCCAUUGCUCACUAGGUGCCUGGACAGGUCAAACCGUUUUCCACUUGUGAACAAGCAUCUCAAAGCCAGUCCCCCCGCAGCUGACUGGCAGGUGUGCUCUGCCGUCUGCUUUUGGAAACAAGCCCUCAAGUGAAUUAUUUAAAGUCAGACAGCCUACUAUUAGCAGACCUAAAGGAGGAACUCCUAGCAAUUAAUUAAAUCCUGAUAUUUAACCCCCUGAGCUGAGCUAGUGCCUGUAGGGCAAAGGUGCUCAAACUUCAGGCUGCGUCGGAAUAACCCUGAGAGCUUGUUAAAAAGCAGACUGCUGGGCCCCAACCCCGGAGUUUCUGGUUCAGUAGGUCUGGGGUGGGCCUGGAAAUGUGCACUUCUAGCAAGUUUCAGGGGCUUCUGCUGACCCUGGAUCAGUGUAUCACACAGGACCGAUAGAUUAUUGUCCCUGAUUAUGGUGAAUAAUAUGGCCCAAAACACUUAAGAAACCUCCAAUUUUCUCAAACUAGCACAUCUGUGUACCUAAUUAUCCAUGUGUCGUCUCUCUGUGUGUGAGGCCACGUGCUCUCCACGAAGACAGGUGAGUGGAGACCAAGACACAGAGGUGCUGCUAUGACCGCAACUGCACCCACCUUGCAGAAAGCGCAAAGCUUCACUUUACAGCAAAAAUACCAGCAAUCUCCUCCCAGACUUUCAGAGCAGUUCCCAACAGGUACAAGGAUAAAAUUUAAGAAGAGAGGACUACAGAUCACUUUAACGCUAAAGGGAAUUGUAGUGAAGCAUGGAUGUUUUCCCAUUAAGGACCCAUGACUUUACACUUCAAUAUUUCUGCAGGGCUCACAGUUCACUGAGAGGCUAGAGUGCAGUGUCACGAUCAGAGCUCACUGCAGCCAUGAACCCCUAGGCUCCUGGGCUCUUGGACUUAAGCUGUCCUCCCACCUCAUCCUCCUGAGUAGCUGGAACUACAGUCAUGAAGCUUUAUGUUAAGUUUCAUCUACUAAAUUGUAACAACUAAAACUUGAGGACUAAAAUAUAUGGAAAAAUUACUACUACAUGAAAAA